rnacentral:rRNA from 1 species
UGUAAGCGUAUACCAAAGUUGUUGCAGUUAAGACGCUCGUAGUCGGACUUUGGCAGUUCCGGAUGUGUGCACGUCGUGUGCGCACUUCGCGGGGAUUGCUUUUGUGGUCUUGCGUAGGAUGAGGCACUUUUAUUAGUGAACGUCCUCACGCAACCACUUUUUACUGUGAGAAAAUCAGAGUGCUCAAAGCAGGCAUUUGCCGUGAAUGUAUUAGCAUGGAAUAAUAGAAUAGGACUUGGUUCUAUUUUGUUGGUUUGUUGGGACUGAGUAAUGAUUAAGAGGGACAGUUGGGGGCAUUUGUAUUUCGGUGCUAGAGGUGAAAUUCUUAGAUUACCGAAAGACAAACUGCUGCGAAAGCGUCUGCCAAGGAUGUUUUCAUUGA